GGAUCUGUGGCACAAUGGUAGCACACUUGACUCUAGAUCAUAAUGUUGUGUGUUUGAUUCACGUUGGGUUCA
rnacentral:tRNA from 1 species